rnacentral:rRNA from 1 species
GGGCCCGCACAAGCGGUGGAGUAUGUGGUUUAAUUCGAAGAUACGCGCAGAACCUUACCAACACUUGACAUGUUCGUCGCGACUCUAAGAGAUUAGAGUUUUCGGUUCGGCCGGACGAAACACAGGUGCUGCAUGGCUGUCGUCAGCUCGUGUCGUGAGAUGUUGGGUUAAGUCCCGUAACGAGCGCAACCCUUGUCCCUAGUUGCCAGCACUUCGGGUGGGAACUCUAAGGAUACUGCCAGUGACAAACUGGAGGAAGGCGGGGACGACGUCAAGUCAUCAUGGCCCUUACGACCAGGGCUACACACGUGCUACAAUGGUAGGUACAGAGGGCAGCUACACAGCGAUGUGAUGCGAAUCUCAAAAAGCCUAUCGUAGUCCAGAUUGGAGUCUGCAACUCGACUCCAUGAAGUAGGAAUCGCUAGUAAUCG